ensembl:lncRNA
AUGUCUUCAGCCCAGUCUCUGAGAGAGUUUAUCAGAGAGCGGCUAACUGCUGCUGCUGCAGAAAUAUUCUCCGAGUUUGAACAAACCAUCGUCCGCUACGAGGAAGAGAUCGAUCGUCAGCGCAGACUGCUGGAGAUCAGCUGGAAACCACAGAUCAACUUACACAGAAUAGAACUCCCACUGCAUUAUGUCAGGACAGAUGAGGAGGUUCUGACUGACCAGCAGCUCUGGAACCAGGAGAGGACCUCCAGUUUGGACCAGGAACAACCAGAACCUUUACAGGAGGGACCAGAACCUCCACAGAUGAAAGUGGAGCAGGAUGAGUCAGAACCUUUGCAGGUUCUAGAACAAGAGGAGCUCUGCAUGAGUCAGGAUGAAGAGCAGCUUGUACUGAAGCAGGAGACGGUUACCUCCCUUGUGACUCCUGCUGAUGAGGACAGAGACCACCAUGGACCAGAACCAGACAGAAACCAGCUCCUUUUGUCACUGCUUCCUGAGGCUGAGAUCAGAGCUGUUGCUCCUCCAGGGUCAACAGCAAGUAAGAAGAUAACCUGAAGGUUCAUUAUUUUCCAUAACAUCUUUAGAUCAGCUGAUUGUGUUUGUAAUUGUUUUUUUUUUUUUUUUUUUUUUACCCAUGUCCUGUCUGGCUGUGAAGCAAACAGAAUUGAUGUCUGAAUGCUGGUGACAAGCCUUACAGAUUUACUCUCAGGUUGAGCAUCAAAGCGUCUGCUUUUGAUGUCACGCCUGAUACUUAAAACUUUAUUGUUAUUGUUUUUUGAACGGACCAGACACGGAGUCAGAGGUGAAAGAGAAAGGAAGAGACAAAAGGGGGGGGGGGGGUUUCCACAAAAACACUCAAUCUGCUUCUAGACCUACAGAAGGAGGGGAAACAAAAGAAAAGGGACACACAACAAUACAACAGGAGCAAGCUAUCACUGCGUCAACCUGAUGAGGAAAUAUUAAAUCAACAUUGUUUAACUGAACAAUCACACGAUGAUAAAUCACAGUGCAUUUAGUGGCAACCACAGCUGACAUGUGUUGAACGUGCCCAAGUCCAUACUUAUGAUAGCACCAUGUGAGCACCUGUGUGCGUACACACGCUUGCAUAUGUAAGGUUUCUCUAUAGGAGCGUCCAAUAGAGAGUGUGAGGGGUCACAGAUCUGCCCCCCAAAGAUGCGUAGGAGAUGGAUGGAGCUCCAAGCCCCAGAGAUCCAGGAGCUGCCCCAGAGCGCAGGGACCCCAGGGAGACUGCGACCAGAAAAGCCCCUGCCCCCCUCAAGAGGCGCAAUGGAUUGCCCCGGGGGGCCACAACCAGCAGCCGGCAGAGUCCCGGGGGAUAUCAGCGGCAAGCCCACAGGCCCACCCGCAGCCUCCCACCCCGAGCCCGGAACCCAGCGACCCGGGACCCAGGUUCACUGGAGUUUUUGACAAUUAAAAUUGCGCCUCCAUUUUCGAACACAUCUCUUUUAACAACGGUAGUUUCUGCAUCCUACUUCAGCCAUCUCCCCCCUCCCGCUGCGCAGCGGCCGCAAACUCACUGAUGCGCCUGCAGCCUCUCAGAGUUUCUGCUGCUCUAAACAUUAAAAUAAUUAUUUCAUUUUCUGUUCCUCACUUCUGAUUACCUUCAAUUGUGUCUGUUUGUUGCAACCAGCAGGUACAAAAACUAACUUGUUUUUAUUUGACUAUUUUUCUGUCCUGUCUGUUUAUUAUCUUCCUGCAUCUCCUCUCAAUCCUAAAGAAAAACUGCUACCUGGGUUCAUAUAUAUUCACCUCAUGAGUUACCUUUGAACUGCAGUUCUAAAAGAUCUACCGACCGCAAAAACAGCGGAG